UUCUGGAACCGUGGGGGUGGGGUGUGGGUGUGGACGGCUCAGGCAGGGAGGACAUGUUUUGUCUGUUCACUAUGUCCUCCCUUCUCUGUCAGCCCAGUUCCACACCAGCCUCAGUGCUCAGGGCAUGGUGUCCUGAGAGCAGAAGUUCUCAACCUUGUUUGACAACACAUUGAUGAGAGAUGACACUAAUCUGUGUUUUUGCUCAAAUGUCCCAUCCUUGGCUCAGUUGUUCCUGGACCAGGUUGCCCACCCAACAGUUUUCCUGUCUCUAGUCCCUCCCACUGAGGACCCACCUCACAGGAAGAAAACCGUCUGACUCAUAAAGGGAUCCGACCAAGGCUAUGUUCAUUCUCUGCUCAGCACCUCAUCUGAGCCAGGACAAGAAGAGAAGGAAACGAGCGCUUGCUGGGCUCCAUCACAUGCCAGGUGGGUCUUAUUAUUUCCAUUCUACACGUGAAGAGUCUGAGGCUCAGAGGUCAGCCUGCCAAAGUCACACACACAGCUGGGGAGCUUGCUGGACUCCACAGGCCACACAUCUUCCAUGAGACCACACUGCCUCUUUGAAAAUAAAGCUGCAGAGCAAAAACACUAACAUUUUA